GAUGAACGGUAGCGGGAGGCCCAACACAUGCAAGCCGAGCGGUAUUGUUUCUUCGGAAAUGAGAGAGCGGCGUACGGGUGCGUAACACGUGUGCAACCUGCCUUUAUCUGGGGGAUAGCCUUUCGAAAGGAAGAUUAAUACUCCAUAAUAUAUUGAACGGCAUCGUUUAAUAUUGAAAGCUCCGGCGGAUAGAGAUGGGCACGCGCAAGAUUAGCUAGUUGGUGAGGUAACGGCUCACCAAGGCGAUGAUCUUUAGGGGGCCUGAGAGGGUGAUCCCCCACACUGGUACUGAGACACGGACCAGACUCCUACGGGAGGCAGCAGUGAGGAAUAUUGGUCAAUGGGUGCAAGCCUGAACCAGCCAUCCCGUGUGAAGGACGACUGCCCUAUGGGUUGUAAACUUCUUUUGUAUAGGGAUAAACCUACCCUCGAGAGGGUAGCUGAAGGUACUAUACGAAUAAGCACCGGCUAACUCCGUG
rnacentral:rRNA from 1 species